rnacentral:rRNA from 1 species
AGAUUGAACGCUGGCGGAAUGCUUUACACAUGCAAGUCGAACGGCAGCACGGGGGCAACCCUGGUGGCGAGUGGCGAACGGGUGAGUAAUACAUCGGAACGUGCCCAGUCGUGGGGGAUAACGUAGCGAAAGCUACGCUAAUACCGCAUACGAUCUACGGAUGAAAGCGGGGGAUCGCAAGACCUCGCGCGAUUGGAGCGGCCGAUGGCAGAUUAGGUAGUUGGUGGGGUAAAGGCUCACCAAGCCGACGAUCUGUAGCUGGUCUGAGAGGACGACCAGCCACACUGGGACUGAGACACGGCCCAGACUCCUACGGAGCAGCAGUGGGAAUUUGGACAAU